UGGAAUACUUUGACUCAUGAGAGAGAAGCUGAGGCGAAGGCGUCUACCUUUAGGGUUUCUGUCGAUCAAGGGCGAGAGUAGGAGUAUCCAACAGGAUUAGAGACCCUGGUAGUUCCUACCUUAAACGAUGCCGACAGGAGUUUGUCAUUUGUUAAUGGCAGAAUCUUUGGAGAAAUCAUAGUUCUUGGGCUCUGGGGGAACUACGACCGCAAGGCUGAAACUUGAAGGAAUUGACGGAAGGGCACACCAGGGGUGGAGCCUGUGGCUUAAUUUGAAUCAACACGGGGAAACUUACCAGGACCAGAUGUUUUUUAUGACUGACAGGCUUCGGGUCUUUCAGGAUAUUGUUUUUGGUGGUGCAUGGCCGUUGGUGGUGCGUGGGUUGACCUGUCUAGCGUUGAUUCAGCUAACGAGCGAGAUUAUCGCCAAUUAUUUACUUUGCCGAAGUCCUUCGGUUAAAGUUCUAAUUGGGACUCCCUGCGAUUUUAGCAGGUGGAAGAGGGUAGCAAUAACAGGUCCGUGAUGCCCUUUAGAUGCUCUGGGCUGCACGCGUGCUACAAUGUUAGGAUCAAUAGGACUGCGAGCCUGAGAGGGUGCGCUACUCUUAUAAUCCCUAACGUAGUUGGGAUUGACGUUUGUAAUCAGCGUCAUGAACCAGGAAUCCCUUGUAAAUGUGUGUCAACAACGCACGUUGAAUACGUCCCUGCCCUUUGUACACACCGCCCGUCGCUCCUACCGAUUGGAUGACUCGGUGAAAUCACCGGAUGCUUACGAGCAGAA
rnacentral:ncRNA from 2 species